GAGAGAGAGAGGGAGAGGGAAAAGAGGGGACGGCGGUGUGUCUCGACCUUUCCCGAUAAGCUCGACCAUUGCUCGAAUGGGAACGCCUAGGGUUUCGAUCCACGAGCUUUCUCGCCAAUCUCUUCCUCCCUCCCUCGCUAUCUGGAUUAAACUAGGAUUUCUCCGCAAAAGAAAUUUAUAAUCUCCCAUCUUUCUCCGGCCUUUCUUCCUUGUUCCCCGAUUCCCCUAACUCUACCACUAGCUCCUACUCUUGUUGCUGCAGCUGUUACUGCUAUUCGUUCACCGUCGCUGUCGCUCUUCUUGCGCACCGAGGAAAUUGCGGGGGGAGACGAAGAGAUCGAGGACCAGUAAUGGCGGAUUGUUGUCCGAAGCGGGCGUAGCACCUCGACGAAGAUUUUGCUGUCGUCUCAUUCGGAGGAGAGGAGAGGCAGAGGCUGGAGGGCGGCAUUUGCGGAAGGAGCUGUUUGGCGCGUCGGUCUUGACGAGAACUGGAGGAAUGCACAUCGAUCGGGGCUCGUCUGCUUCGAAUCCGGAGUAAAGGAUCGAUUUUGGGGGUGGGAUUCUCUUGUGCUUGGAGAUCGAGUGGGUAGAUCUGGAAUGCGGAGGCAUUAAAUCGUCGCUAGACGUUGCUGCUGUAGCUGCUGCCUUCAUGUCGUUGUGCUGAUUUCUAGCCACCCGACGAGCCAGCGCGAGUAGCGGGAAGAAAGAGGGGGAAAAGGAAGCCAAGAACAGCUGAUCGCCGCUGCCAGAAAAAAAGCAAAGGCUCCGAGCUGACUUGUCCGGCCACCUACUUUGUCUACAGAAACCCUAAGUCCCGGAGUUGCCAUAGCCCCUCAGUCUCGCCCACACCCACCACACUCCACUUGCAGGAAGGAGAUCGAGGGGUAGAUAUAAUAAGGAGUGGCCGAUCACGCGAUAAAGAUCCUAUCUUUGUACCCAGGAGAGGCAUGAGAGCAAGAUGGAAUUGGAGGAGAACGACCACGCUUCCAAGAGGUCCCGGAUGAUGUGCAACGGCAGUCAGGCGGCCAAGAUAGGGCGCAAGCAGCUCGCGAGGGACGACGACGAGGACGGAGAGAAGAGGAAGGGCGAAGGAGGGGCUGAUGCCAACCGCAUCGGGUCCUGGCAGCAUUACCCGUCGUCAAGGAUCUUUCGGGUCUCGCGAGCCUCCGGCGGCAAGGACCGGCACAGCAAGGUCUACACCGCGAAGGGCCUCCGCGAUCGGAGGGUCCGUCUCUCCGUCUCCACCGCCAUUCAGUUCUAUGACCUCCAGGACCGCCUUGGCUGCGACCAGCCGAGCAAGGCCAUCGAGUGGCUAAUCAAAGCCGCUGCGGCCGCCAUCAACGAGCUUCCUCCGCUCGAUGGCUUCCUAAAGCCACCGCACCCUAGCGGGGAAGAGAUCAUGGAGAUCAAUCCAGAUGUUGAGUGUAGCUACAAUCAGCAUCAACAACAGCAGCAUCAGUCGAGCAAGUCGGGCUGCAGCAGCACCUCGGAGAUCAGCAAAGGCUCGGUUCUGUCACUCUCACAGUCAGAGAGCCGCAUCAAGGCCAGAGAGCGAGCACGAGAACGAACUGCGAAGGACAAGGCGAAAGAUAGAGACGACAGUGGCCCCAUUGUGGCGUCCCAUCACCAGAACCAGAACCCGAACCCGUACCCGAACCCUCAGACCCCCUCCUUAACUACUACCUUCACGGAGCUUCUUACUGGUGGCGGCAGCGUCCGCAAUAAUUCCAACGUAACCGCUGCCGUUGCAGGCCAGAACUCCGACCGCAGUUGCAUUCAGAAGCAAAUCUCCACAGCGGAUUACUUCGUCCAAGCUGGUCUCUUUGCUCAGCCGCAAAAGAGUCACCAGCUGCCGUCGAGUUUUCCCUCCCAAUCCCACUUUGGGAACAGAUCCCCGAUGGGAAUGUUGCCAUUCAACAUAGCUGCCACUGGCCACCAUCCCGAAAUGCAGCAGUUAUUCUUACAGGACCAUGUCUUCCCCGUCUCGGCAGUGGCAGCGUCAGGGGAUUACAAUCUCAACUUCUCAAUUUCUUCGGGAAUUGCAGGUUUCAGUAGGGGGACCCUUCAGUCCAAUUCACCAGCUCAGAUGCCUCAGCAGCACCAUCACAGUCACAACAAUCUACCGAGGCUCUCUUCUACCGUUGACGGAUCGAACCUGCAGUUCUUCUUCGGUUCUGCCGCUGGUUCGGCUGCAGCCGCCACCAGCGCAGAGAAUCAAUUUCCGGCAGGGAUGGACGGCGGCCUGCAGCUCUGCUAUGGGGAUGGCUAUCGGCAUUCAGACCUCAAGGGGAAAGGGAAGAGAUGAGUUAAUCAGAAAAAAAGAUGCCAUUUUGUGCAUACUCCAUUGCUGGCUUAUACUACAACUAGGAGACAUGAAGGUAUAUUCUAUCUGUAAAGUCCGAGUUGGAGAGUGAUUAGAUGGUAUCAGUGGUAAGAUUAUUGCGUGAUAAUGGUCUGACAAUAAGAGAAAGAAACUACCUAAUGGGUUCCAGAGAAAGCAUGUGCGGAUGCCUUAAGUGGCAGCAAUUCCUGAAAUUUUUUGAUCAUAUUCAAUUGUGCUUCAUUGAGACUUCAUCACUUUUCAUGUACGAAUUCACAAUUCAUGACAUUUUGUUGGUCAUUUACAUAACCAUGUCGACGUUACUCCCGUGAAUUUGCUAAGAUGGAUGAUGCAGGAAAGCAACGACUGCAAAGCAUGGAAAUGGCACCUUUCCUGGAAUAUUGUUUGCAGCAAGGACUCCAGUAGAACUGUGGUCAAAAUCAGAAUUGCUUUGUUCUUUGUUCUCAUCAAUUGCAUUCAUAUCAUGUGUGAGACAGUUCUAUCAUUGUGUGAUUGCAGAGUGAAACCUGGUUAUGUAAUGGUAAACAAUCCAUCUUUAUUGCUUGCUUGUGGAUAAGACACCAUUUAAGCA